rnacentral:lncRNA from 1 species
CUUUUAGUAUUAACUUACGAUACAUGAGGUGACACCAGAUAAUAGGCAGUGAGAUGAUAUGUGGGAAGGGAAGGGAAGCAUUAAACAAAUUCGUAUGCCUCAUCUAUAAUUUCACAUAUGGAUAAAGGUAGUUUUUGGCUUUGUUUUUGUUGUUUAUUUUGUUACAAGCACUCAUGUUAGGACAAAGAUGAAAUGUGCAAACUUUAAAAUUUAAAUAUUCAUUUUCUCUAAGAUCCAGCUCAGUAAAAGAUUACCCCAGUUCCCUGCAAUUUUAAACUACAAGAUCAAAGCUAAUAAUUUGUUAUAAAAGUUAUAUAUUGAAAAGAAAUAAUGAAAAACACAAUUGGGAAAUAUUUAAGAAAAAAUAUGCAGGACUAGCCCUGCUGUGUCAACCCUGUUCCCUAAAUUCAAUCAUAUACCCACUGGUGUGACCAACAGAUAAUGCCUUUGAACAGUAAAUUAAGCUGAACAAAACCAGCUCAACAAGGUUAAGAAAAAAAUGUCACAUCAAGGUAGUAUGUUUUAUUUCUGAAACAGUUCUGUAGUUCUUACAUUCAGAUCUAUUCUAAAUGUUUCUUUGUUAAACUCACUUGUAUUCACCUGUUUUUUAAAGAUCUGUUGUUUAAAGGUUAAAAUCUCUGUAAAACCUAAAAAUGUUUUAAAAUUUGCUGAAAAUGCAACAAAUUCUCAAUUAAAAUUUAUUUAAAAUAAUACCCUCCACUGAUGUUACUUUUACCCCCUGAAAAACUUCGGAGGAGCAUUAACAAAAGAUUUAAACUACUGUGCAAAAUUUCUUCACGAAAAGUGUUUAAAGGCUGGUGCAAAAUGGGAAGCAAAUUCUAAACAAUUUUGGCUUCUUGGAAACAAAAACCGCUGUGUCUGAAAAGAGUAAUCAUCGGGGUGACUCCGGGAAGGGCCAGCUUCAUCUUUUCCGGCGGCAGGUGCGCUUGUGCUCCGCGUGCCAGUGCUCCUGCUGGCACUUGAUGGAGCAGUAGGAUGUGUUCCAGCAGCAGUGGUACAUGGCCUCCUCCUCACAGUUGUAGCACCACUGCUUCUUCUUGGUCUGAGAAAUCAGUUGC